rnacentral:rRNA from 1 species
UGGGGAAUAUUGGACAAUGGGGGCAACCCUGAUCCAGCGAUGCCGCGUGUGCGAAGAAGGCCUGCGGGUUGUAAAGCACUUUGGUUGGGGAAGAAGGUUGGGCGUUGAAUAGAUGCCUGAAUUGACGUUACCCAAAGAACAAGCACCGGCUAACUCUGUGCCAGCAGCCGCGGUAAUACGAAGGGGGCUAGCGUUGUUCGGAAUUACUGGGCGUAAAGCGCACGUAGGCGGGUCUGUAAGUAGAGGGUGAAAUCCCAGGGCUCAACCCUGGAACUGCCUUCUAGACUGCAGGCCUGGAGGUCAGGAGAGGCGAGCGGAAUUCCGAGUGUAGAGGUGAAAUUCGUAGAUAUUCGGAGGAACACCAGUGGCGAAGGCGGCUCGCUGGACUGAUACUGACGCUGAGGUGCGAAAGCGUGGGGAGCAAACAGGAUUAGAUACCCGAGUAGUCCCUGAGCGGGC